rnacentral:rRNA from 1 species
AACGAACGCUGGCGGCAGGCCUAACACAUGCAAGUCGAGCGGACCUUUCGGGGUCAGCGGCGGACGGGUGAGUAACGCGUGGGAAUAUGCCCUUCUCUACGGAAUAGUCCUGGGAAACUGGGGGUAAUACCGUAUACGCCCUUUGGGGGAAAGAUUUAUCGGGGAAGGAUUAGCCCGCGUUGGAUUAGGUAGUUGGUGGGGUAAUGGCCUACCAAGCCGACGAUCCAUAGCUGGUUUGAGAGGAUGAUCAGCCACACUGGGACUGAGACACGGCCCAGACUCCUACGGGAGGCAGCAGUGGGGAAUCUUAGACAAUGGGGGCAACCCUGAUCUAGCCAUGCCGGGUGAGUGAUGAAGGCCUUAGGGUUGUAAAGCUCUUUCAGCUGGGAAGAUAAUGACGGAACCAGCAGAAGAAGCCCCGGCUAACUCCGU